GAGCCUACGGGAGGCAGCAGUGGGGAAUAUUGCACAAUGGGGGAAACCCUGAUGCAGCAACGCCGCGUGAGUGAAGAAGUAUUUCGGUAUGUAAAGCUCUAUCAGCAGGGAAGAAGAUGACGGUACCUGACCAAGAAGCCCCGGCUAACUACGUGACAGCAGCCGCGGUAAUACGUAGGGGGCAAGCGUUAUCCGGAUUUACUGGGUGUAAAGGGAGCGCAGACGGCAGUGCAAGUCUGGAGUGAAAGCCCGGGGACCA
rnacentral:rRNA from 1 species